rnacentral:tRNA from 1 species
UGCCCGGUCGUCUAAUUGGCAGGACAGCGGCUUCUGGUGCCGUAUGUGGGGGUUCGAGUCCUCCCCGGGCAACCA